GUGUUGUCCGGAAGGACAAAAGGUUAGCACUCCCCUUGCCCAGGAGAGAAGAGGCCCUCAGGGCUGCCAACAUGCUUACAGCGAAGGCAUUGCCACCUGCUUCAUUUAUUU
rnacentral:ncRNA from 1 species